ACAUCAUUUUCAGUUCUUUCCGCCCUUUUCAUCGAAAGCAGUGGGAACGUUUUACUUGCGUUUGCUUUUAGUAACGUUCAAGAUGCUUUGGCGGUGCGUUAUCUGCUGCGUUUUUAUUACUUUUUAAUUGAAACUCUUAUUGAGCCGUAUCAAUAGAUUGCAGUCGCAGCCCUGAUUUGGGAUUGCUCUUUGGUAUUGACGGAUGCACUGAGAAAUAUAGAGUGUACGAUUCCUUCUAUCAUCAUGUAAAGAGAAACCACCUUCAACACCUACUUGAUUGCACCCGACCAGAUGAACAGCCAUCGGAGGAAAGCAAAGUACCACCGGAACAAGACAACAUUCAACCCGAUCAGCUACUAGCUAACUCCAGCAUCACUAAUAAUCAACUCCAUACAUCUGACUCAGAUGAAGGGAAAAGGGGCAUUAACCAACACGGUGUCACAGUGCAACAAGAUCUGACAACACAUGCCACUGCUUUUGUGAUAAAUGACAGAGCCAAGCAUUGUCUCUCACAGAAAGGUGUGAAUGACAUUGUUCUGGGGUACAGCAGUAUCAAUCAUCACUAUUGGACAGCCUCAGGAAGCAGAUGGAGGCAGUGCUAAAGAAACAUUCAGGUCAACUUGAAAAAGAUGCAAUGGAUAUAUUUGACAAUUUCAUUGACCCUUUUGCUGGUGUUGCAACAACAUUUAGACAGGACAGUGUUAUUAAGAAGCAGUUUAGCUGUUUGGACGCAGAGGAAAUUCCAAUUGCUCGAACCAUAUGCAGGAUGAAAUGUGGAGGAUCAAAAUACAUUUUCAUCAAAGAUAAUAAAAUAAUUUAUAUACCAUUAGUCAAAAGUCUAGAACAGUUCUUAUCAAACCCAAGGAUUUUGUCUAUGGUUGAAAAGGGACCCCAGAUGUGCAGGGAAAGUUUUUUUAAUGACAUUGUUGAUGGUGCUCUUCUAAAAUCACAUCCCUUAUUUUCAGAGAAAAUCCGUGUUCUGUACACAGAUUAAGUAGAAAUUUGUAAUCCACUAGGAUCCUUUGCAUCAAAAAACAAGUUGUUAAUGGUGUACUAGGAAAUAUACAUCCAAAAUACAGGUCUAAACUGGCUGCUAUCAGGCUACUUGCCAUGGCUAGAUCAGCAGACCUCUGUCAAUCUGGUGUAGAUGUAAUAUUGAAUAUAAUCAUGGAAGACAUGGAUGAUUGUACAGUGGGGUUAAAAUGCUAACUAUUAAAUGGAGAGAAAACGAUAUAUGGUGCCAUGGUUGCUCUCUGUGGAGACACCCUGGCACAACAUGAACUAGCAGGGUUCAAAGAGCGUGUGGGCUUAGCCUACAGUAAGUGCAGACACUGUGAGUGUUCGUUUGACUACAUGCAGUCACACAUCAAUGAGGAUGCAUAUACUAAAAGGACAUUGGAGAAGCAUGUCAGACAGUGUGAUGAAAUAGAAAAGGCACAGACGGACUUGCUUCGCAACAGCCUGAGAACAACAUAUGGGAUCAAUAGAAGGAGCAAGUUAGUUGAAUUCCCAGCCUUUGAUAUCAACAACAAACUCCGCAAUACAUUAUGCAUGUCAUUCUGGAGGGCAUAGCCCCAUCGGAAGUCAAAUGUGUUUUGAAUCAUCUUGUCUUGUCAGGACAACUUGAUCUGGACUCAGUGAAUUCUGUUAUUCUUUUUUAUUUAUUUUUUAAAUUAUUUUUACCCCUUUUUUUUUCUCCCCAUAAACAUAAUAAAUAAACAAUAUUUACGUAGAAAAUUGAGGGACUUCCUAGGUUUCAAUGAAGUAAACCAUGCUGUAUCAGUCAAAUGGCUUGUAAUACAUUCUAAUAAAUACAUAACUCAGAAGUCCAUGAUCUUUGCCAAAGUAUGCCAGGAUUUGGACUGGUCAAAAACAUAUUUAUUGUUGAUUCUAGGCUUUAUUGUUUGGAAUAUCAACCAUUUCAAACUAUACGCUUUGAUAGAAACAUCAUGGUUUAUCAAGUUGAGGUCCCACACCUUGCACAGGCCACUGAGUUAGUGGAUGCUAAAAAGCUGGUUUAUUUAACCUCUUACACAAUUAGCAACAAGAUCCAAACUUAUGUACAAGUCAAAUACCAUCUUGGGGAUGUAAUAGAAUUGUUCAAAUGACUCAGUGUGUUCCCCAGAUAUGAAUAUAGAUAGAUGUCUUUUUUCUGUACUGUAUUUUGUCUACAUGAUUGCUGUGCUGUGUGUAAGAUUGACAUUAAAACAGUGAAU